ensembl:lncRNA
CAGCCCCUCCGCGGCCCAUCCUGAACUGGGACAGGCCCCCUGCCCCCCGCGCCCCUCACCGGGCUGCGCCGUCCCGCGUGGCUGCCGGCUGCCUGGCUCAGCGCGACUCGUUCCCGGGGCCGCGCGGGCGGAGGAAGGAGGGAAGCGGGUUUGUGUGCUUGGCCCCGCUCCCCGCUGCACCUCAGCUCGAUCCCACCUCAAAGCGUUGACGCCCACACCCCGGGUCACGCACCUCCCAGCCCCGCUUCCCAGAACGCGUGCGCUUAACCCUUCGGCUGCCAGGCGCUGCGGCCGGAACUGCGCCGGGGGGUGGCCCGCCACCCCCUGAACCAGAGGAAAUUCCCACUGUGCCACAGCCCAGCGUGAAGCCCCAGCCAACAUGGGGAAGGCCCUGCCCCAUGUGCCCCCCUGCAGCAACAGGGCCUGGAGGGGUGCUCACACCAGGUCCCCACCGGCAGGACAUGGGUGCUACUCCAGGCCCAGGCUGCCUAGAGCAGGCAAAACCCAACAGCACCCACUGCCCUUUGGUGGACAGGGACAUAAGACCCCCCACACCCCCUCAGCUUCUCCCCACCCAUGGGGCUAUGUUGCCCUGGCCAACCUGGUGCCUGCGCCAUGCUGGGCCCUGUCUGGGGCUGGGUCCCUGUGAGGGCUGGGCUCUGCCAGCGUGCUCCAGCGUGGCCAGCUGCAGUCCCACACUUCCUGCCCACAUGCACCCGUGCAUACAGGCCCAUGGCCACUGGCUGUCCCUUGCCUGGGGACAGGCCAGCUCCAGCCCCAGAAAGAGCCACGAGCUCUGGGACUGGCCAUGCCAGAGGCCUGGACACCACCCCCCUGCUCUGCCCAGGUCCUGCGGCUCCAGUGGGAAUCUUGGCCUGUGCGGCCAGUCCAGGCCUGUCCCCCACCCUCAGCACAUGGGACAGGUGCCCUGUGGGGGGGGUCAGGAUAAGCUCCCUCAACCCCAUGGGAUCACACCUGCCACAGCCCAGCCCCCAAUACCGACCUUCCCGCCCAGCUGUGCCAGCCCCAGGCAUGGUUCUGGGUUCUCGCAAUCCCCCCAUAAUUACACCCUGCGUGGCCCCAGCCAAACAGCUAUUACCAGCCUCGCACCACCAAUCCCACCUACCACGUGCUCUCCGCCUGUCCUGGCCACCCACACUGGCACAAGGGCAGCUCCAGGGAGCCAGCCAGCUUCCAUCACACCAGGGGCUGUCUGGGCAGAGUGGCACAGCUGGAAGCCACUGGCGCUGGAAGAGUUUGGGGACUCAUCACAGAGCCAAGCACUGGAUGCAACCCCCAAAUCACCACACAGCCCCAGGCAAGGGGAGCCGAACCGUAUGCCUGCCACGCUGCCCCAGCCGGACAUUUGCUGUCAUGCGAGAGCUGACUGUGGCACAGGGCAGGAACAACCGUGCAGAGCUAGGGUGGUGGGCACACUGAGAACUGCCAACCACCCUGGGCAGGGUAGGACAGGCUGCAGCCUGAACCCUCCCGUAGAUGGUUGCUGCGAAGCCUGGGCUGCCUACCAAACAACUGCACGCUGCCCACCCGGCACCUGCCAAGGCUGCCGAGCACAGGCGCAG